GACGAACGCUGGCGGCGCGCUUAACACAUGCAAGUCGAGCGAUGAAACUUUAACAGAUCCCUUCUGGGCGUAGAUAAAGUGGAUUAGCUGCGGACGGGUGAGUAACACGUGUGUAACCUGCCUUAGACAUUGGGAUGGCCUCGGUAAACCGGCAUUAAUACCAAAUAAAAUCAUAAUGACACAUGGCAUAACGAUCGAAACUCCGAUGGUCUAAGAUGGACUCGCGUCCCAUUAGCUAGUUGGUAGAGUAAAAGCCUACCAAGGCGAGGAUGGGUAGCCGGGAAGAGAGAGAGAGCGGACACAUUGGAACUGAGAAGCGGUCGAGAAUACUACGCGAGGGAGGAGAGGGUGAUAUUGCAAAAUGGAGGGAACUAUGAUGUCGUUCCGCUGCGUGAACCAAGAAGGCUUGAGAGAAGUAAAGUUCUUUUAUAUGCGAAGAUACUGACGGUACCAUAAGAAAAAGCCCCGGCUAACUACGUG
rnacentral:rRNA from 1 species